GCGACGAAGGUCAGUCUCGAAAAGCACCCGAGGAGGAAAGGAAGGACAGUACACUCCCACACCAAGCAAGAAAGCAAGUCCUUGACAAGACGCGAAGAAAUUAUCUGCAGUUUGGUUGAUAGUUUUAUACGAAUACAAAAAUCCGCCGGAAAAUUGCUGACGUUGCCGAUAGCAGCAAACAACACACUUCAUUUACCAUGAAUAAAUUCCUGCUUCUGACGAUGGUGUUUUUGGUCCUCGUGGGCGUGGCGUGGUCCUUCCCCCAGAUCAUAACGCAGCGAAGAAGGUUUCCUGGCGAAAGGCGCCUGGGAACGAUCAAUUACGGGCAGUAUCGCUUCGGCAAGCAUGGCUACCAGCGGAAAUGUCACCCGAGAAAAAGAAGAUGUAUCUUUUAAUAUGAAAACUACGAGAGAGCAAAUUAUCCUCCAAAAAGACAUAUGCUUAAGAACACAGAUUGUGUCGCCUCGCCCUAGUGCAGCCACGGGUCUUGGGUACCAAUUACAGUAUCCUGCGGCCAUGGUCUAAUCCCAGAGGCCGGCAAACAAGAAGAGGCAAUACGCUGAUGUGUGUGUGUGUGUGUUAGUUAUUCGGUACUGGAUUGGAAAAGAAAAUUAAGUUAGAAAAAACAACAAUAGUAUUAUCAGUAUCGUGAUCACGUGUCUUUUUUUUGCGAGAAAAACAAGUUACAAAAAAGUGAAAAUAGUAAUCUUACCAUAAUUUUUAAAAGAAAACUAAGUUAGAAACAAUCGAUAAAUGAAAUUGAUAAUAGCAUUAGUAUCAUAAUAAUCAUUAUCAUUUAUAUUUUUUACAAGAAAAGCAAGUUGAAAAAAUAAUAAAUGAAAAUAAUAACGGUAUCAGUAGCACUAGAUAAGCAUAGAUUGCGUCGUUAACAAAACCAUUCUACUUUUUUUGAAAAUGAGUUCUUGUCCAAUUGUUCUUAAGGACAUCAGGAGUUUGUACAGAUAAAUUAUUAACUGAUUUAUGUUAAAUCGUUAAAUCAUUGUAUUUAGUUGGUAUUUACAACUACAUUAUCUUUGUUUAAUGUUAACUAGCGUUGUUGUAUUGUUAUGUUUUUUGUACUUCAGUCGGUGUCUAUUUAGCACUGAUUUUACAUUGUGAAAAAAAAUAAAGGAAUUAUUUUUAUACUGUA